rnacentral:rRNA from 1 species
UACGGGGGGGGCAAGCGUUGUUCGGAAUUACUGGGCGUAAAGUGUGCGCAGGCGGCCGCGCAAGUCGAGUGUGAAAGCCCCGGGCUUAACUUGGGAAUUGCGCUCGAAACUACGUGGCUGGAGUAUGGCAGAGGAAGGUGGAAUUCCACGUGUAGCGGUGAAAUGCGUAGAGAUGUGGAGGAACACCGAUGGCGAAGGCAGCCUUCUGGGCCAAUACUGACGCUCAUGCACGAAAGCGUGGGGAGCAAACAGG